GAUGAACGCUAGCUACAGGCUUAACACAUGCAAGUCGAGGGGUAACGAGAGGGAAGCUUGCUUUCCUUGUCGACGACCGGCGCACGGGUGAGUAACGCGUAUCCAACCUGCCCCCAACUAGGGAAUAACCUUGCGAAAGUAAGACUAAUACCCUAUAAUUUCCUCAGAUGUCAUCUGACGAGGAAUAAAGAUUUAUCGGUUGUGGAUGGGGAUGCGUCUGAUUAGCUUGUUGGCGGGGUAACGGCCCACCAAGGCAACGAUCAGUAGGGGUUCUGAGAGGAAGGUCCCCCACAUUGGAACUGAGACACGGUCCAAACGCCUACGGGAGGCAGCAGUGAGGAAUAUUGGUCAAUGGGCGGAAGCCUGAACCAGCCAAGUAGCGUGCAGGAUGACGGCCCUAUGGGUUGUAAACUGCUUUUAUACAGGAAUAAAGUUAGCCACGUGUGGUUAUUUGUAGGUACUGUAUGAGUAAGGACCGGCUAAUUCCGUGCCAGCAGCCGCCGUAA
rnacentral:rRNA from 1 species